UACGAAGGGGGCUAGCGUUGCUCGGAAUGACUGGGCGUAAAGGGCGCGUAGGCGGCUUGCACAGUCAGGCGUGAAAUUCCUGGGCUCAACCUGGGGACUGCGCUUGAGACGUGUGGGCUUGAGUGGGGAAGAGGGUCGUGGAAUUCCCAGUGUAGAGGUGAAAUUCGUAGAUAUUCGCAAGAACACCAGUGGCGAAGGCGGCUCACUGGCUCAUUACUGACGCUGAUGCACGAAAGCGUGGGGGAGCAAAC
rnacentral:rRNA from 1 species